rnacentral:tRNA from 2 species
GGGCGGUUAGCUCAGUGAUAGAGCGCGUCAUUGACAUUGACGAGGCCAUAGGUUUGAUCCCUAUACCGCCCACUA